AGCAGACACCAAUGUCAAACUUGUUUUGUCAUUUUCACAGUUUCAUUUCCAUGUACAUCUAAUAUGGUUCGACAAAAGAACUUCAUCAGCCAAAGGAAUGCCACAUUCUUCGGGGAAGAAAACAUGGCUACAUCUGGAGAGAGCUUAAAGAUCUACUAUGACUGUAAAGCCCAGAUGGUCCUAUGAUGACUCAACAAUAGAUGACAAGGAAAACACAAGAACACCUUUUUAAGACGAGGUCCACUUUUGAGAACUUUGACUGGAAAUCAUAGUGCUUCAUUUGUGGCGAAAAGUGCAGCUGUCAUAGAGACAAUACAUCAAGAGGUUUUAGCAGAAGUUGGUCCCUAGGGCCAAAAAAAAAAUGUGUGUUUCGGGAAACGGCUGAAUUUUUUUUAGGUAUGGUAGGUAUUUUUGUCUGAUCUUUGCGAUGGCUCACAUGCUUUUGCAAUGGGAAUAUCCGGAAAAAACAUCGUACCGAAGUAUGCGCGUCCUAGAAAUUGGACCAUAUUCCGUUUCUUGUUGAAUUCUCAAAUGCGCAUAAUUGAAUUUGAAAUCCGAAACACUCUUCCCUAUUUAUUUUUUACUCGACGUUAUCACAUUCUUCAAACAAACUGUAAAUGUACAGUGUGUUUUUAUCUUUUCUCUCGAGAAAAGCGCGCGCAAAUUAUUCCCUACAUGAACAACGUCACGUCAAACGCAUGGAAAGCGUGCGUGCAUUAAAUUUCCGUUCAAUGUUCCGUGGUAAAUUUUAACAGAAUGAUAUAGCGAAUGAUUUGGAAUUUGACAUUUCCUCAAAAUUAAUUGCAAAUCAAACACAGUGUAUAUUUAAUUUAUCGUUAAGGACGUUUACAUAAGUCACUAUUGAAACAGUUAUUGUACUGUAUACUGGUGCAACAGAAAAUCCAGACGAAACUGGAUUAAAUGUUGGGUGUUGUCAAAACGAAUCCCGUAUUAAACCCCCUUGGGAAGAAACACCCUUCCCUAAAAACAGCAUAGCGGAAGAAACUCCCUUUCACAUUUUGCAUAAACGGAAGAAACACCCUUCCAUAGCGGAACAAACCCCCUUCCAGUUUUCAGACAGGCGGAAUAAACCCCCUUCAUAACUGUUAUUCAAACUGUUCGAAAAACAUUGACACGUAAUUAGAUUCACAAUUUUCCUGUUUGAAGCAAUAAUAAACAUUUUGUAUAUUACAUGCUCACAUUAGUAUCACUACAUUAUAUAUAUGAUACAGAGACAAAAUAUAAACUCAAUCGUGAUACAUCGGCUAUCUCGGAUUCCUCCGUAAGAUAGGCCUCGUGGCUAACGGUCGCCAUAUUGCCUUGUAUUACUACUUUACUACCCAAAAGGUUGUCAGUCUAUUGUUAUGAGGCUGUAUACGAUGCGCGUUGAACUAGCGCCAAACUUUUUACCGAAACUUUGAUAUUAAUAGCACUAUUAACGUUCAUUUGUGUUGCAUUUUGACCUAUUAUCCAAGCGAUUUACUUUUCCAUUAUUAUUUAAUCACCCUAUCAUCCAAUUUUUAAGAUGAAAUUACGGUGUUUACAAAACCAACCAAACCGAAAGUGAAACUGGAUGCAUUACGUUUCGCGAUGUAAACAUUAAAUAUUUGUUCAGUUUGAGGAAGCGAAUCGAUAAUAGACGUUGGAAUAUGUAUGCAAUACAGACUAUCAUUGCCGAUUGUAAUACUGGCUAAAAAAUACCUUUUAUGACAGGUCAUGUAUAGAACGUUAAUCAAAUAGUGACCAUAAAUCACUACAAAUGUCUGGGUUGUUCAUUAAUAUAAUUAAUGCACGUUUCUGAUCUAAUUGCCUGUAUCUAGUUGUAAUUACCAUGAUAUUGAUAAAAUUAAAACGUUUUUUUCAUAAAUUAA